UACGUAGGGACCAAGCGUUGUUCGGAUUUACUGGGCGUAAAGGGCGCGUAGGCGGCUUAACAAGUCACUUGUGAAAUCUCUGGGCUUAACCCAGAACGGCCAAGUGAAACUGUUAUGCUAGAGUGCAGAAGGGGCAAUCGGAAUUCCUAGGUGUAGCGGUGAAAUGCGUAGAUAUCUGGAGGAACACCGGUGGCGAAGGCGGCAUCCUGGACCGGUAUUGACGCUGAGGCGCGACAGCGUGGGGAGCAAACAGG
rnacentral:rRNA from 1 species